UGUUCCGUCGGCGGGAUUCGAACCUGCGACCCCCGGCUUGACCUACCAAAUCGCUCACCAACUGAACCACGGAGGUCGCCAAUCACAACGAUAUCGAAA